GUUCUACUGCGACGUUGGUGACUGCCAAUAUCGUUUUUUGAUCUAUGUCUGUUCUUAAAAGGGAAUCUAGCAGUCUUGUGUCAGUAUACCGGGCAUGUACCCGGAAACUUCAAACGAGAUUCAACGGUACCCACCUGGUUCUCCAGGUCAUAAACUGAGGUAAGACGGCGUCUUGGGGAAUCU
rnacentral:other from 1 species